GGGAGGAUGGCCGAGUGGUUAAGGCGCUGUGUUUAGGUCUCUAUAGUAUCAAUCCGCAGUGGGAAACCGCGUGGGUUCGAACCCCACUCCUCUCA
rnacentral:tRNA from 1 species